GCCAACGACGAAAACUACGCUCUAGCAGCAUAAGCUAGACCCUGGGUGGGGAUCGUCUCUGGUCCUUAUCAACAGGGUUCGAAACAGAGACUCGCUUCAACGCUGUGUUCGGGGUUGAGAAGCUAAAUUUUUCACUGAACUCGGAACGGUGAUCCCUGUGCGUUGGGAGAUCCAGACUUAAAUCCAAAAACGCGACUAAGCAUGUAGAGCGUUUGGCAGCGGACUGACGGACGCGGGUUCAAAUCCCGCCGUCUCCACCA
rnacentral:tmRNA from 1 species